CCAUUCUGUGUUUUCUGGUACAUAAGAUUGGGUGAUGGAUGGCUUCAACAUUUACAGGUUUUGUAAGAAUUCACAGAAACAGGCACUGCAAGUGAGCAAGGCAAACAGAAUGAAGUAGGCAAAACCGAUGGGUGCACUUAAGCACCAUUCAUUAGAAAUAAGUCUCAGAAAAUGUUUGAAGGUUUUUUGGUAAGAGAGAGAGAAAAUUAUGUCUGUAAAGAGGAGAAUAACACAUUUGUCCAGAUGACAAUAUUCAUUUUUAGUGCCGAAGGAAAAACUCCAGAAUUUUUAUGGUUAAAUCUUGCUAACUUGCUGUAUGUCUGAAAGGGGAACACAGAGGAAGUGCUUUACUACAUCACUGAACCCUAGAGUAAGCCUCAACGUAUUUUAUAACAUGGAGCAGCCAUUUUGUUUGUUAUUCUUUGGCUAACCCAACAGCAAAAUUUCAUGACCUUUUUCUUCUCCCCUUGCAUCCCUAGGGUAGUCUUCAUUCUGUACUAUACCACACGUUUCUCUUUGUUUUGCAUCUUGAUCUGGACCCAAGUCCUUAAGCAGGGAAUAUAAGCCAAAGACUUAAGAUUUUUCUCAGGUCUUGAUCCUCAGAGAAUCAGCUUGGUGUUCUCUGUUGAAAUGUUCCUUUGGCGAGGUACAGGAUGCUUUAAGCUGCUCGGCUACUUCUGGAAACGCAGUACAUUUUCUUUGGAUUUAUUUUGUCUUUAUGGUUAGUAGUGUUUAAAGGUAUGCGAGUGAUUAAAGUGGUAUCCUGGAAAUUGGGAAA